GCUACGUCUAGUCUACUUUGCCGUUACAAUUGACGUGUAUCUCGUAACAUUUAUAAUUGUAUGUAAAUGGCAAAAGGAAAGUGCUGGAGAUGAACUCAGACACCUGAUUCCCAGAGCGACUCAUCUCCGACAGAAAACCCUAAGACUACAUUCACACUACAGCCUCUCUCUGUGGCAGCCAAUCAUAACGGAGGUGGGAAAAGGAAGCACGCUCAUGAAAGCGUCGCCUACUCGCCAGGAGCACGCCUUAAUCACCCCUCCCAAGCAACAGCGAUCGCAGCACUUUCAUGGCCGUAAUUAGACCAUCACAGCAAAGUUUCAAGGGUCUCCAGCUGGUCCAGGCACCAGUCAAGCUCCUCCAGAGUCUCAGUGGCCAGUUUCUGGUAGGCCUCCUCUGCGGGAACGAGACAGGACGGUAAGGGGUCAGUGAGGGCCCGCUUCAGGGGGCUAGUGGACGGCCCAGGCCCGGGGUCUCCCACCCCACACACGGCUAAGCUGGGAUACCCCGAGUAGACACAUGGGUGACUCUUCAUACUGGAUGGUCCAGCUGUUAGGGGUGUGUGUGUGUGUGCGUGCGUGGGGG